CCUACGGGGGGCAGCAGUGGGGAAUAUUGCACAAUGGGGGAAACCCUGAUGCAGCGACGCCGCGUGAGUGAAGAAGUAAUUCGUUAUGUAAAGCUCUAUCAGCAGGGAAGAAAAUGACGGUACCUGAGUAAGAAGCCCCGGCUAACUACGUGCCAGCAGCCGCGGUAAUACGUAGGGGGCAAGCGUUAUCCGGAUUUACUGGGUGUAAAGGGAGCGUAGGCGGCAUUGCAAGUCUGGAGUGAAAGGCGGGGGCUUAACCUCCGGACGGCUGUGGAAACUGUACGACUGGAGUGCAGGAGAGGUAAGUGGAAUGCCUAGUGUAGCGGUGAAAUGCGUAGAUAUUAGGAAGAACACCGAUGGCGAAGGCAGCUUACUGGAGUGUAACUGACGUUGAGGCACGAAAGCGUGGGGAGCAAACAGGAUUAGAUACCCCUGUAGUC
rnacentral:rRNA from 1 species